rnacentral:rRNA from 1 species
UACGUAGGGUGCAAGCGUUGUCCGGAAUUAUUGGGCGUAAAGAGCUCGUAGGCGGUCUGUCGCGUCGGCUGUGAAAACCCGAGGCUCAACCUCGGGCCUGCAGUCGAUACGGGCAAACUAGAGUACUGCAGGGGAGACUGGAAUUCCUGGUGUAGCGGUGAAAUGCGCAGAUAUCAGGAGGAACACCAAUGGCGAAGGCAGAUCUCUGGGGCCGAUACUGACGCUGAGGAGCGAAGGCGUGGGGAGCGAACAGG